ACGCAUAAAUCAUGAGAGGUCUUGGACAUUACAGGAUACAAUGUAAAUUGUAAACACUUCAGUAGGAUGGUGGUUUGAGCAUAUCAUUGUUUUUUCAUUAUAUUUUCAUUGUUUUCAUUUUGAAUGUCUCAACUGAACUCAAUCACAACCAGGGGCAGGUCUUUAAAAUGUUAAGAUUUUUAACAUUAAAUGUCAAACAUUUUUUAAAAGAAGAAAGUAUUUUUUUCCUUGAAAGACAUUUAUUAAAUGAAACAACACAAUGACUUUGUGAUUAGCCCUGUUCUCUCACAGCAUUAUGGUCCUGGUGCCACAUCCCAAUUAGGGCCUUUUGUUUAGAGUUUGCAUGUGUGGCUUUUCUCCAGGCGGUCCAGUUGCUCCUACAGCUCAAAAACAUGCAUGUUAGAUUAAUUACCAACUAUAAAUUGCGUUUAGCUAUGGUGCAGGGUUAUUUCUCUACGUUUCUCUGUGUUGGGCCAGUGAUGAAAUGGUGGCCAGUUUAUGGUACACCCUGCCUGUUGACCACUACAAAAAGGCACGACCCCCACAAUUUUAGCGUCAAAUUGAGAAAAAUAUUGUCCUGUUUUAGAUGUCGUAGUUUUUGGAAAUUAAAUGAAAUAAAAAAAAUAAAAUCUACUUUACAGCUUUGUUCUGCUUAUAUGGAUUAAACACAUCCCUGACACCUGGGUUAAUGUUCUUUUCAGUAAACUGAUUAUUAUUGCAAUAUAUCAGCUGUAAUGGCAUAUUGAAGUUAAUCAGAGCCAUGCAUCCGGGGAUGUGAAGGGUGGUUUAAACUAUUUAAAGCAGUAAUUUCCAGACCUUUUAGCAUCUGACCCAGAGAAGGACUUUACACCGAGACUAACCCAGAUUAAAGUAAUUAAAACAAAUUUAAUCUGUUGUAACAAUUUCAAUAUCCAUCAAGAUUAAUUUGUGGUCUAAAAAUCUACUUCAGAACCCUUACCUACCUUUAACUCUUCUAAGACUUUAGGGCUUUGAGAAUUAAGUCCCACACUGAAAUCCAGCUAAUCUCAAUAGCAGGAAUUAUAUGCUACCCCCACCCUUUUUAAGCAGUAAGUCUAAUCUUAGCAUGCUGGAAGCUGCCUUUAGCUUUUCUUUUAAUUGUGUCUGGGCAGAAGACUCAAUACUUUUUAAGUAAACAGUCUUGGCUUGCACAGCCAACAGGUGUAAAGGUUUUCCAUUUUUGCUUUAAAUACCCCCCACUGAUGACAACAUACAGACGUGACAAAACCAAGCAAUAGUCAGUCACUCAGUCAUUUUCUACCGCUUCUUCCAUAGAGGGUCUUUGGGAAACUGGUACUGGAGAUAGGCACCAGUUUCCCCAACCAAGCAAUAAUCAUGAUGAAUUAUUAACGCUAAAAUAGACCAGACCACACUAUCAUCGAGAAGCCACAGCAUUUUAUAUAGAGGUUUAUAAAUUUACUGAAGAUGUUCUUGAAUAAACUGCACAUAUUUAAGGAAAUGAUGAAAUAUACAUCUCCUCUCCCUGACUUCUUAAUAACAUAUUAAGGGACAUGCCAGUGUGGAUUAGUGACAGCUUUAUGCAAAACUAAAGGCUAGAAAUUCAGAUUUGUAAAAAAUUUUUGUUCAUAAAAAUAAUUCAAUACCAUGUCCUUCUAAUCUCUUGUUUAGAGUUCGAUAGCUAGAUUGCGACACUUACUGGACAUCCCUGUUUACAAUCACGGCAACAAAUGCGUUUCACUAAGUGUUUGGAUACAAAAACUUUAAUCAUUUGUAUCCAGUUAACCACUUUUCAUGCCACAGAUUCUCUAUUGUUUUUAGGUCUGGGGUUUGACUGGGCCAUUUAAACAUGUACAUACUUUGAUCUAAACCAGAGAACGAUGGGGUCAUGACCCCUACUGGGUCUGUGGAUGUACUGCAGGAGAGUUGUGAAAUUUUUGGUUAAACUUUUUUUAAUCCUUUUUUUUUUUUUUUAAGGUUGUCUUUAAAAACACACGUUAACACAAAUCCAACAUGCUGUAGCAGAUUGAUAAAUGGAAGAAUAAAAUAAUUAUUAGUAUUUCAGUGAGAAAUGCACAUAUUCAUUGGGCUCAGCAGCUGAACUCUGCUUCCCUCACAGGCUGGUCCUCCUGUCUUCAUGAUGCCACUUGUUCACUAAUGCUCUCUAACAAACUUUCAGUCCUUCACUGGACAGCUGAUGUCGAGAUUAAUUCACAGUUGUAGUGAAAAUAAUGUGUGUUUAAAAACGUGAGCAAAGCUCAGAAACCUUAGAACAGUUUUUGUUGACAUGUACUGGGAACACUGCACAUUAUAUUCUAAAUCAAACAAUGAAGAAAAAUGCAUAAAUCUUUUAAUCACAUUACAGAAAAGAAAAACGAACACUGGGCUGUUCAACAAACAGCAGUCUCUGCAUUUUUCUUUGAAAACUCAAAUAUGUACUGUAUAAACUGAGAAAUCAUGUCUCUCUCGUUUUGAUUUCUAUUUUAUAGCACUAGAGACCAUAUUAGCCGAGCCGCCAAUCAUUUUCUGCACUUCUUCAAACAUUUUCCCCUCUCUAAUUAAUGUUUUAAUUAAAGUACGCUGUCCUUCUGAACAAUGCCUGAAAUGACCCAUUGUCAGUGCUGGCGUCAUCUUUAAUAAAGGGCUAUCUGAUGAACAUCUCUUUCUUCACAGAAUGAAGGACUCUACUACACCCACUAGUAAAUUAAUUGCCCUGUGGUAAUAGGAUUUCUACCAAAAACAAUGAUUGAUCUGGACUGCGUGGGUGGGAGGCUGGUACCUAUCUCCAGAGGUCAAUGGGCAAGAGGUGGGGUACACCUUGGACCAGUCACCAGUCCAUCACAGGGCAAAACCCACUGGGAGAACCCACCCAUGCAAAGGGAAAACAUGCAACCUCCAUACAGAGGCUGAAAGGGGUGUAUCCUAAGAGUGAUAAGGCAAGAGGCUGGUUUCCAGAAGUUUUAACCUGUAUUUGAGUAAAAUCAGAUCUUGAAAAGUUUCGUAGCAGCUCACCUGCUCCAGAC